AGUCUGAAUAGGGCGAAGAGUUAGGUGACGUAGACCCGAAACCAAGUGACCUACCCAUGGCCAGGCUGAAGGUGUGGUAAAACGCACUGGAGGGCCGAACCCACGUAAGUUAAAAAUUGCGGGGAUGAGCUGUGGGUAGCGGUGAAAUUCCAAACGAACUUGGAGAUAGCUGGUUCUCUCCGAAAUAGCUUUAGGGCUAGCCUCGUGUAGAGGAUAAUGGAGGUAGAGCUCUGUUUGGACUAGGGGCCCGUCAGGGGUUACUGAAUCCAGAUAAACUGCGAAUUCCAUAUAUCCAUACACGGGAGUCAGACUGCGAGUGAUAAGAUC
rnacentral:rRNA from 1 species